UGGCGCGCUGUGUACUUAGGUCGUGUGCUGGGGCUUUUCUCUCCAGGGAGCCUGCCGAGGGGCGGGGGAGGGGCCACCGCUCCGCCUUCUUUUCGCAAUGUUGACGCAAUCUAUAAAUAGUGGAACAAAAGGACCAACUUCCUCGGAGCUUUGCUGAAACUGCACAAAAAAUCGAGCUGGGGGGUUCCCUGGUCCCCGGCGUUGGGGCGGGGAGCGCUACGCCGAGGGAGGGGGCGGCGCAGACCCGACUAGGGGGACACCUGGUCGAGCGCAGCCACCUCUCCGCUCGAGCCCUGCGCUCCAGUGCCCCCGCUGGCUGGAGAGCUCGCCCGGACCGGGGGUCUUCCUCCGCCGCUGACAGUUGAAAAAUUAGAAGAGAUAUCCUGAUGUGGAGUGAGGAAGAGGAGAGAGGAGAGAGAACCAGUGAUGGUGUCAAGCUGAGACAAACACUAGCCAGCACAGCCUACCAAGUGCCUCUCACUGACUCACUGGGCUGCUGGCCAGUGACCUCCAAGAACUGUGCCUGUCUAUUUCCCUGCCCUAACCACACUUCAGUGCUUAGAUUACAGGUUUGUUCUAACAAACCUUACACAGUGAGGAUAAAAAUAUAGCAUUCAACUCAGCUGUCCUGAAGAACUGGUCACAUGCUCUCAGCCGUGGAUCCCAGGAACCAUAAUUCCAAUUUCACUUCUGUGUAUUAAAAAUCAAUUAAGAAAGUCAAGCUCACAGACUCUGAUUUCCUGUCCUCCUCAACUCAGGACCAAAUGCACCCCAAAUCACUGAAAUCUCUCUGUCAAUCCGUACAAUCUGAAGUCUGCUACUCAACAUAAAGCUUUAUUCCCCUAA